UCCAGGCUCCGAGCUGUCAGCACAGAGCCUGACACGGGCCUCAAACCCACGAACCGAGAGAUGGUGACCGGAGCCGAAGUCAGACACUUGACCCAGUGAGCCACCCAGGUGCCGCGUAGGUCUCUUUUGAUUGUCAGUCAAGCCACCUCGAGGGGCGCCUGGGUGGCUCGGUUGGCUGAGGAUCCGGCUCUUGAUUUCAGCUCAGGUCAUGAUCUCACACUUCCUGGGAUGAAGCUGUGUGCCAAUGGCGGGGAGCCUGCUUGGGAUCUUCUCUGUCUCUGCCCCUUCCCCGCUCUCUGUCUCAAUGACGGGAAAAAAAAAAAAAACCACACAAAACCAGACCAACUGGAAUUGUUAUAAGCCAAGCUGCGAAUUUGAUUGGCUCCUAUGUGAGGAAAAGAGUCCAAAAGCAAUAUAGUUGCAGCCAGGGCUGGCUCCAGGGGUUCCACUCUUUAGGGAAGCUGUGUCGAUAAGCAGGAAUCGCCCCCCCACCCCGACCCCUCCACCCCCCGGCUUCCAACGUCUUCAGUUCAAGUCCCAGAGGGACAAAGAAUACCUUUCACUGUGGCCAGAGCCCCAGGAUUGACUCUGAAGGUAUCUGAUGGGGUCAGUGGCCUUUCCCUGGACAUGGCAAUGGAGUCAGCCCCACGCAAGCCACAGGGGCCUAGAAUGGGAGGGUGCUGAGCCCCCUCCCCCGCAAGAUAACCGGGGUGUUCUUACCAGCAGGAGGCAGGAAGUGUGGUCUUUUCUAGUCCUGCUAAAAGGAAAGAAAGAGCUUUUUGGAAAUCCCUGACGCAGAGAAGCCAGUAGCUGCGGAUGGCAGUUGGCGUGGAGGGUGUGGAGGCAGGGGUGCACCAAGGUGGGGAACUUGCGCAUUUGGUUGUGAGGUCGAUGAGUCCAGGAGGACAGGGAUCUGGGGGCCUGAUAGCAGAGUUGACUACGGGCUGAGGCUCUGGAAGGGAGUGUCUCUUUGGAUGUCGGCUUCUGCCAAGAGGGAAGCUCUCCCUGGAGGCCUGAAUGUUCUCCUAGAUAGUAGCCUUUAGGUAAGUCAGGGUUGCACACUCCAAGCCUCAGGGGGCCAGGCUAAUAAGAAGAAAAUAAGAGCGACUUGGACCAGGUGAGGGCCGUGGGGGACCCGACGGCACCUGUCUUACCAAAGGGCCGCGUGACAAUAUGGGCCCGCUGUCGGGCCCGACCUUUGGAGUUGUUGAGAAAGGCCUCAAAUCUGGAUUUUCAUGAAGAUGAGGUGGCAUUGAAUGCCAAUUGAAAACGACCACCAGGACCCUGAGCGGGACUAAACAAAACACAUCUGUGGCCAGAUUCGGUCUGUGGGUCACCAGUGGGCAGUUGCUUGUGGAAAAGGUUGGGGAGGUGAAGAUUCCUGUGAUGAUUUUUCUCUUUUUCCUCCUGCGCCCCACCCUCCCAUUACUACCUUCUCAGUUCUUGGAUGUGUCGACGAGCUCGUCCUUUCCUUUACAGAAACGUUUCAGAGAUCCGAGAGUAGCGAUCAUCAGUACUUCUCUCCUGGUUUGGUUUCCCAAGCGCUGUACCGAACCACCUGGCCUGGUCUCACCUACUGGUGCUUGUUAUCAUUUCUGGUUUAGAGAGAGGAAAAAUGACCUGCCGUUGUCUGCCCGGCCAGCGAGUGGCCGAGGCAGGACUUGGGGCCCGGGGUGUGACUCCGGACCCCGUGUGUUUCCGACUGUAGAGACCGGGCCGGCUGCCCGCCAGGGAAGGGUUCCUGUGGAUGAAAUGUCUUUGGUGCUUGCUGACUUGCUGGGCUAGAUGCUUUUGAGUCAAGUCUCUCACUGCCUUGUCCACAGCAACUGCCAGAGGUGAUGUUAUGGAUUCCUGAUUUAAUGAUGAGGAAGCGAGGACUCCAAGAGGUCAUCGGGCUAGUUAACGAGAGCGCUGCCGUUCAUCAGAAACCAGGGUUCUGCCUCCAAAGCAGGGAGAAGUCCUCACUUCACCCAGGCAACUCUUUCUUUAAGAAACCCCGUGUUAGAAUUCUGUGUGACGACGCUUCCACAGAAUCCUGGAAGCUGAGAGUUGGAUGUUGCUCUAGUCCAGGGGCUCCCGCCAGGGAUGGCCCCCUGGGGGACAUUUGGCAAUGGCCGGAGACGUUUUUGUUUUUGUCGUGACUUGGCUCGGGCGUGGGGUGCUCCUGGCAUCUGGCGACACAGGCCGGGGAUGCUGCUGACCAGCCUACACCGCCCAGGACAGCCUCGCCGCACAGAAUCAUCUGGUCCCAAAUGUCAAGAGUGGUGAGGUUGGGAAAGCCUGGUCGAGUCCUUUGAGAUGCUGGAUAUGUGAAUCGUGAAAACCCAAGAUGGGUGAUGUUUGCCUGCAGAGUGAAGAUGUGUUCUGUUUGGUCUGUUUCUUACGUGUGGAAGUCUUGAUGACAAUCAUUGGGCCAUACUGAACACUUGGGAGUUCUCACGUGGAAACCUGGACUUCCAGCUUCUUCUCAAAUCAUGCAAGACCUAGCGAAGCCUGGCAUCGCGCCCUCGCGACGCGAGUACACGUGGUCGUAGCUGCAGCUGCGUAGGAGCAGCAGAGUCUCUACCUCGCGAGGUAGCCCGUUCCGUUAGGGGCAACCUGAGUCCGAGGCAUCUCUGCCCGUGAGUCCCAGGGGAGUCCUCUGCUGCCACGACGCAUCUGUCUCCCUUCCGCGAGACGGCCCUUUCUGUGUUCGGCCUCGCAAACCGUGUCCUCGCUCUAUCAGCGGGGAGGUGGCUGUGCUUGGUUCGCUUCAGUCUGAGUGGAUCCCGUCCAGCCUCUGCAUAGAGCAGAGGAGGAAAGGAAAGUGUUCUCCCCACGACUUCUGAAUCCGAGCUUCCGUGGCCUGGUCAUCCACUGUAUUUACCUACUGUGAAAUCAAACAGGGUUGUUUAUAGGUGAGUGAAGAAAGCCCGUGGUUCACUGAACCAAAAUGAACCCUAAACAGAUGUGCUCACGUGUGGCCUUAUGGCGUUGGUUUUACACGUGAAGGCAGCAUGUCAUUCUAAGAGGAAACGAUGUCUGUGGUCGUGGUUCCCAGUGUGUCCGCGGCAGCCCCCUCCCCCCGAGAUUGGACAUGGGUAUAUGGUGUAGGGUCCCAGAGUCAGUAUGCACACCAGGCAGUCUUGUCAGACUGGAGAUGUUUGGCCUUUAUGAUUCUGUUUCUGUUUCUCAAAUGUAGGCAGAGGCCAUCGUAAUCAAUCAAGUGUAGAUCCAUGUACAAAUAUUAUUACACUCCUACCUGCCGUGUGUGUCUAUUGUCUUAAACGUGGAUGUGAAAAGUACAGCAGGCCCACGGUCCUUUUUCCAAAACCCUAGGGGCCAGAUGAGUUUUGGAAUUCAGACGUUUUCAGAUUUUAUUGUAUUUUUUUUUUAUUUCUUAUUUUUUUUUUACGUUUAUUUAUUUUUGAGACAGAGAGAGACAGAGCAUGAACGGGGGAGGGUCAGAGAGAGGGAGACAGAAUCCGAAAC